rnacentral:rRNA from 2 species
UGGGGAAUAUUGCACAAUGGGGGAAACCCUGAUGCAGCGACGCCGCGUGAGCGAUGAAGUAUUUCGGUAUGUAAAGCUCUAUCAGCAGGGAAGAAACUGACGGUACCUGACUAAGAAGCACCGGCUAAAUACGUGCCAGCAGCCGCGGUAAUACGUAUGGUGCAAGCGUUAUCCGGAUUUACUGGGUGUAAAGGGAGCGUAGACGGACUUGCAAGUCUGAAGUGAAAGCCCGGGGCUCAACCCCGGGACUGCUUUGGAAACUGUAGGUCUAGAGUGCUGGAGAGGUAAGUGGAAUUCCUAGUGUAGCGGUGAAAUGCGUAGAUAUUAGGAGGAACACCAGUGGCGAAGGCGGCUUACUGGACAGUAACUGACGUUGAGGCUCGAAAGCGUGGGGAGCAAACAGG